AAAAAAAAAAAAAAAAAAAAAGAAGAAGAAGAAAAAGAAGGUAGUUAAUAUUGGGAUCUAUCAUAAAAAACAGAAAAAAAAAAAAAAAAAAAAAAAAAAGUUGUUAAAAGUAGACAAUAACGAAAAAAUAAUCAAAAACAAUGUAUUUAAUAUUGCCUAAUAUAUAAGUCAAACUGAUCUGUUUUUUUUUUUACUUUGUUUGUGUCAUUUGGAAUGUACAUAUUUUUAAUAAUUGAAAAAAUUUGGUACAUAUAUACAUAUAUAUGCAUGUAUGUAACAUAUUGCUAAUUCCACACUUUUUAUAAAACACUACGUAAAAAUAUGAAAUCAAAUAAACAGUAUUAUAUAUAUGUAUAUAUAGUAAAAAUAAAACAGUGUUUUUUUUUUUUAUUAUCUAUAUAUAAUUUUAUUUUAUUUUAUUUAUUUUAUUUUAUUUUUUUUUUUGUAUGUACAUACAUUUGCAAAUAAAAUUUAUACAUUUAGCUUAAAAAAAAUAAAGCAAAAAAGAAAAACAGCACAAAUGAGCUGUUAUACAUCAGUAUAUAUAUAUAUAUAUAUAUAUAUUUAUAUGCAUACAUAAUUUAACAUAUUAAAAAAAUUAUUUUAAAAAAUGCUAAUUCAAUAAAUUCAAAAAAUAUAUUGAAAAAAAAAAAAUUAGAAACCCAUACAUAACAUAUAUACAUAUGCAUACGCAUAGUUAUUAUUGACAUAGACAUACAACAUACAACACACAACAUACAUAAUACAACAUACGACAUAAAAGAAAUAUAAUACAUAGGUUUUUGUUCGAACAAAAUGUAUAAGAAAGUUUUUUCAUUAGUGUUUUUUGCUUUCAUAAGCAUAAUGUAUGGAGAAUCUAAAAAUGUUGUUUCUGCAUUUUUAUCAUAUUUUGACACCAAAAUAAAUUCAAAAAAUGAAAUCUCAAAAAUUAUAAAAAUUGGAAAUGGUAUGGUUUGUUUGUUGAAUGAUGAUAAUUCAACUUAUAAUGAAUGUGCUUGUACUUUUAAAAAAUUGAACGAGUUUGAAAUGAAUUGUGUAUCCAAUUUUAAAAAGAGUCAAGAAGAAGCAAAAAAUUGCUCUAUAGAACAUUGUGAAAUUUGUUGUAAUUUAAUUAGUUCAAAAAACAUGACAAACUCUAUAUUAGAUUAUGAGUUAGACUGUAAAAAAAAAUGCACAAAAAAUAAUACAAUUUUAAGUGGCAAUCAAAAUGAUUAUAAAUUAGCUUUUCAAAAAAUAGUUGAAUUCAUUCGUAUAUUUUACCCACCAACUGUUUUAAAUUACCACCCUAUUGAAAAUAAAAAAGUUCCUAAAUAUACUAAUAAAGUAUUGGGUUCAAAGUACGAUCGAAUAAUCGAAGAUUUGAAAGCUG
rnacentral:lncRNA from 1 species